GUGGGGAAUAUUGGACAAUGGGCGAAAGCCUGAUCCAGCCAUGCCGCGUGAGUGAUGAAGGCCUUAGGGUUGUAAAGCUCUUUCAGUAGGGAAGAUAAUGACGGUACCUACAGAAGAAGCCCCGGCUAACUUCGUGCCAGCAGCCGCGGUAAUACGAAGGGGGCUAGCGUUGUUCGGAUUUACUGGGCGUAAAGCGCACGUAGGCGGAUUGGUCAGUUAGAGGUGAAAUCCCGAAGCUCAACUUCGGAACUGCCUUUAAUACUGCCAGUCUCGAGUCCGGAAGAGGUGAGUGGAACUCCUAGUGUAGAGGUGGAAUUCGUAGAUAUUAGGAAGAACACCAGUGGCGAAGGCGGCUCACUGGUCCGGUACUGACGCUGAGGUGCGAAAGCGUGGGGAGCAAACAGGAUUAGAUACCCCUGUAGUCC
rnacentral:rRNA from 1 species